UUGGAGAUUAACAAAAUUUCUCUGGACUUGAUGAGAGAGUGACGAAGAAACAAAUGAUUAUAUUAUUGGAUUAAGGGUUGUAGUUAAGCAAAUACAUACGGUAUACAAGUGAUGAGAAGAAAAGAAGUGAAGUGAGCUAAAAAUAGAUCAAAAAGGGAAGAGAAGUGCAAAAGUUGGAGAAGCAGGAGCAAGAUUUGACCUCAGUUACCGCGAUCGCAGUAUGAGAAUUGCGAUCGCGGUAAGUCCAACUUAGUCAAAGAUGGCAAUCACAAUGGACAUUCCGCGAUCGCGGGAUCAGUGACUGUGAUCAAGAUCUCGUGAUCAUGAGUGAACGAAAUUCAGCCCAGGGGCAGAAUUACCACUUCCCACAGCUGAUCCAAAAUUUUAAAAAAAGGCUUAAAACCUUUCACUUGGAGUCAUCUUUGAAUUCCCUUUUGAAGAAUAUAAAUCGAGAACUUUCAAUUUAUGUGAGAGGAGAAUUGUAUUAAAUCUUUGAAGAAAGAUACUUUUGGUUGCAAUUAAAGUUUGGAACUUUGGGAUUACUAUAUCUUGUUUUUUUAAUUGAGGAAAUGAAUCAACUUAGGUAA